rnacentral:lncRNA from 1 species
UCUUACUCACAACAUGUUCUUUUCAGAGACUCACUCAAAUCCCAAUCCGGGAAUCUUCUUUGUGACCACUGUCCUCGGUUUCAUCAUGGGACACUGCAUUUUCCUUUUUCUCAUUAUCCUGGUGAUUCAUCAGUGCAGAAAGAGGAGAGUGUUCCAAGAGGAAGAAUCGAUGAAGAAGAUACUCCUGAAUGAGGAAGAGGAGUCUGGAAGUAUGGUUUGUGAGCUCAGAGACCCUAGGGUAUCACUGAAGGGACCAGUGUGACUGUAUUGAAACCAUCUACACUAUAGUCCAGGCUAGGGCUUCAGAGGACACCACAAUGGUGACCACCUGUGUUGAUGUUGCAUUGUGCUCUCGUUUUUCAUAAACUAUCCCA